UUUUUUUUUUUUUUUUUUUUGGUCAUUUGUCGUUUUAGGGCCAUACCUGCAGCACACAGAGGUUCCCAGGCUAGGGGUCAAAUCGGAGCUGUAGCCACCCACCUACACCACAGUAACACAGGAUCCGAGCCACGUCUGCCACCCACACCACAGCCCAUGGCCAUGCUGGAUCCUUAACCCACUGAGCGAGGCCAGGGAUCAAACUCGAGUCCUCAUGGAGACGAGUCGGGUUCCUUAAGCCCUGAGCCCCAGCGGGAACUCCUACGGUCGGAUUCGUAACCCACUGCACCACGGGAACUCCAGCGUCUUUGGUUUCUCUACGAUCAUUUUAAGAAACAGAGUAAAUGAGAGUUUGGCUUCAGUUCCCAGAGCCAGCACGGUGACGACAGGUGUUUCAAGUUCAGGCUGAGCCCUGGGACGCCCUUGGGACAACCAAGAAGCAUCCAGAGCCGUGCCCUCCUCGGGAGGCCAAACAAACCCUAGGAUGUGCCCACACACAGAUGUAACACAGAUUUUUUUUUUAAGCCUUCAAAGGAUACACUGACCCACAAAGUCACGGAAUCAGCGUCCAAAGCAGAGUCAGUCUCGAAAGACAGGAAAGUGAAUCUCCUCCCUAACAAGGUAACUCCGACAGGCCCUGCACGGUGAAGCCAAACCAGCCCUCACUCAGGUGGACUAGCAGGGACCAGGGCCCCCCCUCACACACCCAAGAGAGGUGGUGGUGGGGGCCCACAGAGCCCUGCUUACGACAGCAGCCUGGCCCCUGAGAAACAGAACGGGUCAAGGGUACCUGAGGCUGGGAGUUCCCGAGGGGCCCAGCGAGGUCAGGGUCUGGCUUUAUCACUGCUGUGCCUCAGGUCACUGCUGUGGCACGGAUGCCAUCCCUGGCCCUGGAACUUCUGCAGGCCAUGGGCGUGGCCAAGCAAGGGGGCCUUUGGUCACGUGACUGCGGCUGUGCCCCCAGGAAGUAAGCAGCUGCUCCUCUUCACCUGGGAGGGGGGACAGUACACAUUCAUCCUUGGGACAAAUCCACCUGCCCUCGGUCACGGCACAGCCCAGGGACCCUGAGCACUGGUCCACCAGGCUGAUGGCGUCUUGUGAACGGGGCAUGAGGAAGAGAGGGUGGGGGUGUUCGCGUUGCUCUGAGACAGACUCCAUGUGCUGGGAGUGAUGGCAGGUCUUUUUUUUUUUUAUUAUUUUCUUUUUUAUAGGGCCACACAUGCAGCAUAUGGAGGUUCCAGGUCAGGGGUCCAAUCAGAGCUGCAGCUGCCGGCCUACACCACAGCCACAGCCACACC
rnacentral:lncRNA from 1 species